rnacentral:rRNA from 1 species
UACAGAGGUCUCAAGCGUUGUUCGGAUUCAUUGGGCGUAAAGGGUGCGUAGGCGGCGCGGUAAGUCGGGUGUGAAAUCUCGGAGCUUAACUCCGAAACUGCAUUCGAUACUGCCGUGCUUGAGGACUGGAGAGGAGACUGGAAUUUACGGUGUAGCGGUGAAAUGCGUAGAUAUCGGGAGGAACACCAGUGGCGAAGGCGGCUCUCUGGACCACAACUGACGCUGAGGCGCGAAAGCUAGGGGAGCAAACAGG